rnacentral:rRNA from 1 species
UACGAAGGGGGGCUAGCGUUGCUCGGAUUGACUGGGCGUAAAGGGCGCGUAGGCGGUUCGUACAGUCAGACGUGAAAUUCCUGGGCUCAACCUGGGGGCUGCGUUUGAUACGUGCGGACUUGAGUGCGGAAGAGGGUCGUGGAAUUCCCAGUGUAGAGGUGAAAUUCGUAGAUAUUGGGAAGAACACCGGUGGCGAAGGCGGCGACCUGGUCCGAUACUGACGCUGAGGCGCGAAAGCGUGGGGGGCAAACAGG